AUUGAACGCUGGCGGCAGGCCUAACACAUGCAAGUCGAACGAGUGGCGGACGGGUGAGUAAUGUCUGGGAAACUGCCCGAUGGAGGGGGAUAACUACUGGAAACGGUAGCUAAUACCGCAUACCAUCGGAUGUGCCCAGGUGGGAUUAGCUAGUAGGUGGGGUAACGGCUCACCUAGGCGACGAUCUCUAGCGGGUCUGCGAGGAUGAUCAGCAACGUUGGGACGGAGAGACGGCCCAGACUCCUACGGGAGGGAGCAGUGGGGGAUAUUGCACAAUGGGCGAAAGCCUGAUGCAGCGACGCCGCGUGGGGGAUGAAGGCUUUCGGGUUGUAAACCUCUUUCGCUAUCGAACCGGUACCGGAAGAGAAAGCCACGGCUAACUACGUGCCAGCAGCCGCGGUAAUAC
rnacentral:rRNA from 1 species